AUGUCAUCCCGUGAGGUGACGAAGACGCAGAAAUAUAUGAAGUUCUUUAAGAAUGGAAUAAUCUUUUUUAAAGAAGUCUUACUCUGAGAGCCUGUUGCUGUA
rnacentral:sRNA from 20 species